GGCCAGGAUAUAAGGUAGGAUAGUUUACCAUAGGCCAGGAUAUAAGGUAGGAUAGUUUACCAUAGGCCAGGAUAUAAGGUAGGAUAGUUUACCAUAGGCCAGGAUAUAAGGUAGGAUAGUUUACCAUAGGCCAGGAUAUAAGGUAGGAUAGUAGGAUACGUUGGUCCCUGAGCUGUACCAGCAGACCUCUACCCCGUGAUGGAUUGGUUCAUUGUUGUGUUCCGUGCCAGCUGCAGUGAAGGCUAACAUGGCCACCGGUUAUUUCGAUUUUUAGGCCAUGAGGGUCACUUUCUCUUGGGAACCAGCAAGGCUUCCUCCUCCUCCACUUCCAGGCCAAUGUGUAGCAGAGGAGCAGCUCUGUCCAGACCACAGUAGAGCCACAGAGAUGAUUUCUUUCUCUGCCAGCGAGCCGCCUCUGGGACCUGGGGUGUCUGG